AUGAGAUUAAGGCCAAUUUCUUCUUUAUUUUAUACGCCUCUUCUUCUCUCACCAAACUAUGAGUUCCCCUUUCUUUUCUUCAUCAAAAUCAAACAAUCACACCCCAGAAUAUUAAAAGUUUCUUUUUCAAUUCUAAAACACAAAAACGAAUCAAUUUCAGACAAGGUUAAUAAUAAUAAGAAAAAGAGAACAUACCCAUGGAAAUUCUGUGGCUGA